rnacentral:rRNA from 1 species
UUUGCACAAUGGGCGAAAGCCUGAUGCAGCAACGCCGCGUGAGUGAUGAAGGCUUUCGAGUCGUAAAGCUCUUUGAUCAGGGAUGAUAAUGACAGUACCUGAAAAACAAGCCACGGCUAACUACGUGCCAGCAGCCGCGGUAAUACGUAGGUGGCGAGCGUUGUCCGGAAUUACUGGGCGUAAAGGAUGCGUAGGUGGAUACUUAAGUGGGAUGUGAAAUCCCCGGGCUCAACCCGGGAACUGCAUUCCAAACUGGGUAUCUAGAGUGCAGGAGAGGAAAGCGGAAUUCCUAGUGUAGCGGUGAAAUGCGUAGAUAUUAGGAGGAACACCAGUGGCGAAGGCGGCUUUCUGGACUGUAACUGACACUGAGGCAUGAAAGCGUGGGUAGCAAACAGGAUUAGAUACCCUGGUAGUCCACGCCGUAAACGAUGGGUACUAGGUGUAGGAGGUAUCGACCCCUUCUGUGCCGUCGUUAACACAAUAAGUACCCCGCCUGGGGAGUACGGUCGCAAGACUAAAACUCAAAGGAAUUGACGGGGGCCCGCACAAGCAGCGGAGCAUGUGGUUUAAUUCGAAGCAACGCGAAGAACCUUACCUAGACUUGACAUCUCCUGAAUUACCCUUAAUCGGGGAAGCCCUUCGGGGCAGGAAGACAGGUGGUGCAUGGUUGUCGUCAGCUCGUGUCGUGAGAUGUUGGGUUAAGUCCCGCAACGAGCGCAACCCUUAUUUUUAGUUGCUACCAUUUAGUUGAGCACUCUAAAGAGACUGCCCGGGUUAACCGGGAGGAAGGUGGGGAUGACGUCAAAUCAUCAUGCCCCUUAUGUCUAGGGCUACACACGUGCUACAAUGGUGAGAACAAAGAGACGCGAGACCGCGAGGUGGAGCAAAUCUCAUAAAACUCAUCCCAGUUCGGAUUGCAGGCUGAAACUCGCCUGCAUGAAGCCGGAGUUGCUAGUAAUCGCGAAUCAGCAUGUCGCGGUGAAUACGUUCCCGGGCCUUGUACACACCGCCCGUCACACCAUGAGAGUUGGCAAUACCCGAAGUCCGUGGGGCAACCAGCAAUGGAGCCAGCGG